CCUUUUCAUGGUUGUUUUCUAUGCAUGUUUCAGUGAUGUUUAGAGGGGUUUUUGGGGAGUUGCUUAUGAGUUGUUAGAAUGUGUUUAGUACCUCAUGUGAGUCCAUCUGUGUAGGAUUGGACCUGAGGAGAGGUGUCUAGCUUCAGUGCUAGUUGACCCUGAGUUUGUUGAGCAGUGGCUUCAUGUGAGUAGAACUAAACCAAAUCUUUUAUUUUAAGAAAUCUAAUGCCUAGAGCAUAUUCAUGCAAAGCAUACUCAUACAUCAUGUUUAUACGUAAUAGGAUGAUUGCACUAGUUUCACGAAUAUGACGCAUUGCAUAAAUUGCUGUGUAUAUGAUGAGAUGGGUGGACCAAGGCGACCUCAAUAGCCCGCAAGUCUGUCAUUGAGUCUUUGUCAGUCGGGCGAGUACAUGUAGGAAAGCCCCAUGAGAGCUCCUUCGGGGCCAAGUUUUGACAGAGGGAAUGUUGGGGUCAUGUCUAACCCUGAGGGGAAGGACGUUUCGUGAACCCUCUAAAAUCACCCGCGAGAGGAAGAGAUUGCUAGCGUGAACUCAAGCGGGAAUGAUAUGUUUGUUGUGCUAUAGUUGUGAUGUGUUGCACUUCAUGAAAACAUGAAAAAGAAAAAAAAAAGAAAAAGAAAGAAUAAAAUGAAAUAAAAUAUAAAUAAUAUAAUGAAAUAAUAAUAAUAAUAACAAUGAUAAAAUGAAAUAAUAAAAUUAUAUGUUUUCUCUGUUUCUACUCACUGGGCUCUUGUAGCUCACCCCUUUCCCUUAACCCCAGUUUUGCAGGGCCAGAGUAAGUAAGCCAGAGUUCAGUCAGAGUAAGCUAUGGGGAAAGAAGAGGUUCAAGCAUGGGUUGCCAUGUUUGGUUGUAAUAGCUUAGUGGUGUUUUGUUUAUGUAUAAGAGAUGCUUGUAUGUAUAUGUUUAUGGAGAUAGUGAUAGUUAUGUAAGGAAGUUGCUAAAGAGA
rnacentral:lncRNA from 1 species